CCUACGGGAGGCUGCAGUGAGGAAUAUUGGUCAAUGGACGAGAGUCUGAACCAGCCAAGUCGCGUGAAGGAUGACUGCCCUCUGGGUUGUAAACUUCUUUUAUAUGGGAAUAAAAUGUUCCACGUGUGGGAUUUUGUAUGUACCAUUUGAAUACGGCUCGGCUAACUCCGUGCCAGCAGCCGCGGUAAUACGGAGGAUCCGAGCGUUAUCCGGAUUUAUUGGGUUUAAAGGGCGCGUAGGUGGAUUUGUAAGUCAGUUGUGAAAGUUUGCGGCUCAACCGUAAAAUUGCAGUUGAAACUGGCAGUCGUGAGUACAGUAGAGGUGGGCGGAAUUCGUGGUGUAGCGGUGAAAUGCUUAGAUAUCACGAAGAACUCCGAUUGCGAAGGCAGUUCACUGGACUGCAACUGACACUGAGGCUCGAAAGUGUGGGUAUCAAACAGGAUUAGAUACCCUUGUAGUC
rnacentral:rRNA from 1 species